GCAAGCCAGAGUCCACACCCGCACCAACCCUAGCCUCCAUACCUCACCUUCCUCCCUCGCUCCGCCCCAACCCUAGCCGCCACACCUCUGCUUCCUCCCUUGCUCGACGCCAUAGGCACCGUAGCCCCUGCCUCCUUCCUGCUCGUCCGGAUAGCCGCCAUCCGCCGCAUCCUUUCUCCUCCUUCCUCCUCCCUGGUCCCCGCUGGUGCCCCUCGCCCUCGUCCUCGGACAGGGUGCCUCCCGCAUGGACGGUCGGGUCUUCAAACCGGGGGUAGAGGAGCAGGGGAGGGCCAAGAGGCCGUCGGUGGGGGUGGAUCAACUAGGCCGGAGACCUCUGAUUGCUUAGGCCCCAUGGCAGCAGCCGGAUCAGGGCAGCGACGGAAGGCCAUGGAGGGUGUGGCGCAUGCGGGCGGAACCAACAUGGGUUGGUGGAGCGACGGAUGCGGGUAGGGUCAGCGGUUAGGGGCACUGCGAGGAGUGGAAGGCAGAGGGUAGGGGCAGAAAGCCGUGGCGAGUCCUCGGAGAGGAGAGGAAGGCGACGGUUCAGCCCGCGGUGUCGGGCAGAGAGAGAGAGAUGUGGAUGGUGGCGCUAUGCAAAGAGAGAUGGCGGCGAAGGCAGGCGGUGGCGCUGAGUAGAGAGAGAUGACGUCGGCGGCGGUGGCGCUGAGUAGAGAGAGAUGACGUCCAUAAUCUUGCGGAGGUGUUCCUCAACCUACAUGAGGCACCCCAAGUGUGGGAAGAAUAAAAUGUAAUUCAAUUGUUGGGUAUAUUGUUCAGAUGAGUUCGUCCUGUGCUAGAAGGUGAGCUGAACCCAGCCUAGGCCUCAAGUUUCUCCUGUCCUUUGAAGUGCAUUGUUAUUUCUGUGAGGUUCACAUGUAAUUUGUUCAACUAUAGUACUCAGUGAAUGAGACAAGGCACUACUGCAUUUAAUUUUGUGGUGUUCAGCUGCAGGAAUUCAGUUUGUUUCUGGUUUUUUGGAAGUCAUAGAUUGUUUUGUGCCGGAAACAGGAGAAGUAAUGCUCUAACCUUGGCAGCAAAAAUGGUCUAAAUUUCAUAUAGAAGGCCCUAGAACACUUUGCAUGUGUUCAUUCAAAUAUAUGGAGUUGACCUGUAUGUGUUGCUUCUGUGCACACUAUGUUUCAUAUGAAUUUGUAGGAGAGAAACUCUAUAAUGGUAAUGAAGUAUUGUCGAUAUUUACUCUGUUGCUUAAGGCCUAGGCAUCCUUUUGGAUGCAGUUAUGGUAGCAUGUGUGAGAGAAGUGGAUGGAAAAUUAGGGACUGAAACAAGUGGAGAAGAAAGUUAUUAGUUGAUUCUCACAUCAGAUAGAAGUUGUCUCACGAAUGUUUAUUUAUUUAGUGACCAGGCAUGAGAUCUGGAAUAUUGAAGAGCAACAAUUGGCAGAAGUAUUAGAUGAGUUUGGGAAUACAUGGUCAUGUAUGGAGUAUUUUCAUGAUUAGGUUUCCAUCGCUCUUCUCCUGAAGGCAUGAUGCCUCAUUUCAAUUCUCUUAUCUUGGUGUGUUUGUAUUCAGAAAAUUAAGGCAUGAUUCAUCAUUUAGAUUAUCUUAUCUCCGUGUGUUUGUAUUCAGAAAAUCAAUUUGCUUAUUUUUUGCUUUCUUAGGGCUAUAAAAAGAGAAAAUUCCAUCGCUGAAAAUCUUUUAAAGAGAUUGAGGAUAAAAAAAUCCAAGCAAACUCCGCUUUUCUCCCGUAUUUUUUAUGCGCGCCUUAAUCUGUGUUAGGAGAAAAAUAUUGCUCUUUGUUCAGAAAAUGUUUAUUGGAUGGAAAAUACUCAGCAUUUAAAGUUUUUUCUUCAGAUGUUUUGGGUUUUUUGAGCAGGCUGCCCGACAGGUCUUGCGUUUUUUGCAAGAUUUGUAUGGAUUUGUGGUUCAUGACUAUAACUAUGAAUGUAUGAUGGCCUAUAGGAGAUAUGUCUGUUCUUUAAUGAUCAUUGCGGUUUCUUGGGUUCCUACUAUGCUAUUUAUUCAGUCUGUAGGCCAGCAUAUUAUUUUAAUUCUUUCUAACUUCCUUUCUAUACAUAGAAAUGCACACCUACUUCCAAGCUCAGUACUGGUCUCCUUGCAGUUACAACCCCAAGCAAAUCGCCAUGCCCAGACGGCAGUGCCAGGUGUGCCUUAUUUCAAGCUGCUAAGAAGAAAACCGCUGCACUAGAAGAACCUAUGCAGAAGCUUGAUGCAGAAGCCGAGGUGAGCUCUGGUGGUAAAGCUGAAGCUUCUUCACCUCCUGUUGAAGAGAAGGAUGGUAAAGAUGGCCAGGCUCAAGUGACCAGGAACAAAUGGUGCUGCUUUUUAUGUCGUCCAUCUAUCUAUGCAUCCUUCAGUUUGUACCGGCAUAACAAAUAUUCAUUUCUAACUAUAAAACUUUCAGUUAAGAAACUUCACUGCUGGAAAGGGAGCUGGGGCACUAAAGAAACCGGGAUAAUCUAUCUAUAGAUACAAUAGCAAAUUGCUCUAAAUUCAUUUCCAGUUAUCAUCUCUGGCCUUUCUAUUUCUAAGACCAUCCUUCUCGCUGUAGUCUAUUAUAUAAUCUUAGUUUCUCCUUGAUGACAUCGCAAGAAAAGAAUGGUGGUCUUAUGCGAGUCGCUUCGCCAUCCAACAACACUCCAUUGCAUUACUUUUUGUCCAGCUUCAAGCCGAGCCAGUGAAUGUGUGUUCCUUGCAUGACGUUUAGUAUAACCAAAUGCUUCUUAUUAAGUAUGCUUUCGAAACUAGAGUCUUUGGCUGCUCAUGUAGCUCUGCCAAAGCAAUGCAAAAAACUACAUUUUAUGCUUUCAGUUAGGGUGGAUUUGUGUCUUUAGAGAUGAGGCAACCUUACGUGUACAUAUUCAUAGAUACGUCCUCCGUUCCUAAAUAGAAGUCUUUAGAGAUUUAAAUACGGACUACAUACAAAGCAAAAUGAGUGAAUCUACACUCUAAACUAUGUCCCUUUAUCACACUUCCAGCAGACAUGAGUUCUCGUGUUUUUACAGCUUUGUGGAAACAUGAUUCGAUGCAGAAGAUUCAACUAUGUAAAUUGGAAUAAAGAAAAUUAAACACUCAGGUCAAUGGACUGUUCUUUUAUUUGUCUAUGGAACAACUCUUCUUGUACCUGUUUGUGCUCUGUUCCAUAGCAUGAUGGUGCUCUGACCACUUCAUAUCCAUGUAUUUAGCAGGUUCUACGAUCUCUUGUGUUGCACUAUUGCUGCAUCUCGAACUCCUGCUUUGUUGCAUCUUUGUUCUGCUCCUCGAUGUUUGCUUACUUUCUGUCUAGCUAAAAUGCUUUUCUGGAUCUGGCAAGGCGUCGUGUAUUGUUCGUCCUCAUGCUGCUUAUAUUUCAUGCUUGCAUGUAAGCAGGAUGCGUCUGCUUAUUUGAGUACGUACAGACAUGCUUCUUUAGUGUGCCCUUCUAUCAUCUCAUAGUUAUCUUAUUUGUUGUUCUAAAUAAUUAUUGUAUGAGGGAGCAGCAGGCAGAAGAAAUCCAAAGCAAAUUUUGCUCAGCUGUAGCGUCUUCCACUAACAAUAAGUCUGCACAGCAGCCUGAUAGGUUAGUUCUUGCAACUAAAAAACACAAGUCUUUCAGUUGCUCACCACUUGCUAGUAAAAAAGCAUAGUGAUUUUCCUUUAUACAUACCCAACUGAAGAACACCUUAGUUAAAUCAAUCAAUAGUGAGUUGUAUUACUAGAGACGUACUUAGGAAAAUGCCCUUAGGCGUGACACACUACAUGGUUACCUUCUUUAGUCCUAGUUAUUGAUAUCAUAUUGAGAUAACACUCCGCCAAGCAUAAUGUUUGUUUUUAUAUACUUCCAGAUGCUAAUUUACCGUUCUUGAUUUUGGCGGGGAUAUUCCUUCAUUACUUGGUUAGCUAUCAAUACUCACCAAUUUUGGCGGGGAUAUUCCUUCAUUACUUGGUUUGUACAUCAGUACAUGUUAUUCAAUUUUUUUCAAACUCAGAUUUGCAGCGCGAUAAUCAUAUUUUCAAUAUAGCAUGGUUUAACACAUGAGCUUUCUACUACCAAUAUCGAAUAUGUUUCUGCAAAAUAAAACUAUUUUCAUC